UGGGCGAAAGCCUGACGCAGCGACGUCGCGUGGGGGAUGAAGGCCUUCGGGUUGUAAACCCCUUUCAGCAGGGACGAAGCGAAAGUGACGGUACCUGCAGAAGAAGCGCCGGCUAACUACGUGCCAGCAGCCGCGGUAACACGUAGGGCGCAAGCGUUGUCCGGAAUUAUUGGGCGUAAAGAGCUCGUAGGCGGUCUGUUGCGUCCGCUGUGAAAACUCGGGGCUUAACCCCGAGCCUGCAGUGGAUACGGGCAGACUAGAGGUAGGUAGGGGAGAAUGGAAUUCCUGGUGUAGCGGUGAAAUGCGCAGAUAUCAGGAGGAACACCGGUGGCGAAGGCGGUUCUCUGGGCCUUACCUGACGCUGAGGAGCGAAAGCGUGGGGAGCGAACAGGAUUAGAUACCCUGGUAGUCCACGCCGUAAACGAUGAAUGCCAGCCGUUAGUGGGUUUACUCACUAGUGGCGCAGCUAACGCUUUAAGCAUUCCGCCUGGGGAGUAC
rnacentral:rRNA from 1 species